rnacentral:rRNA from 1 species
UACGUAGGGAGCAAGCGUUGUCCGGAUUUACUGGGCGUAAAGGAUGCGUAGGCGGAUGUUUAAGUGAGAUGUGAAAUACCCGAGCUCAACUUGGGUGCUGCAUUUCAAACUGGAUAUCUAGAGUGCAGGAGAGGAAAGCGGAAUUCCUAGUGUAGCGGUGAAAUGCGUAGAGAUUAGGAAGAACACCAGUGGCGAAGGCGGCUUUCUGGACUGUAACUGACGCUGAGGCAUGAAAGCGUGGGGAGCAAACAGG